CUGUCCUUUAAUUAGAGACACCGAUUUCAUAGCCUAAUAAUCUGAUUUUACAUUUUAUUGCUCUAAGUUCAAGAACUCAACUUUCUCUCUCUUCUUUACUCCUUCAAGCCCACCACUGUUCUCGUUCAUUUCUGAACUUUUUUCCGGGCUUCUCCACGCUUUUCACUAUUUUAAAUUAGAGACGAAUUUAGAAUUUCAAGAGAAUAAAUUUAGUAUUAGCUAUGGGGUGUUUUGAUUUCUUUUAUCUUUGAUUUGUUACAGCUUAGCGUCUAUGAGGUUUUUGAUUUUUUUUUGCCUUUAAAAUUUGGGUAAUUAGAAAUAACCGAAAAAGAAAAUCACUAGAUGUAAUAUAAAAAAAACACCUUUUUUAGUUUUGGGUAAUUAAAAUUAUAAAAGAAAAAUAAUUUAGAGUAUUAUAAAAAAGAAAUUUAAAAGGCGGUUUUAGAAAAUAAAAGCAUAUAACGUGCAGGAGCUCGGGUUCAAAUCCAAGACUUUGAGAAAAUAAACUCAGCCUAAUUUGAUCAUGUGAAUCAUGUGUUCUUUCAGGUCUGUGAUGGUCGUUAGAGUUUCGAGGCUUUAAAUUGGGCUCUCUAAUGUGUACAUGUGUUUGGCCGUGUUAGAGUUUCGAGGCUUUAAAUUGGGCUCUCUAAUGGAUAUGGAAGGCUAAUGUGUACAUGUGUUUGGCCGUGUGAGCGUGGUACAGUACGUACCUUUGUUGGGGAUCUUUCAAAGAUUGGUUUUUUUAUCGAGGGGAGAAGGUUGACCUUUUGGAAGAUGAGUGCGCCGAUAAUUCUAUGCUGCUGUUCGAUUUUAUCCUAAUGAGAAGAUACUUCUCGCAUCGAAAGGGUACCCUGUAUUUUAACUAAAACAUCACAGAUGAGUAUUCAAUUCUUUGUUUAUUAAGCAGAAAAUUCAUCUAUUCACUUGUGACAAUGAUGUCACCUUUCCUGUGUCGCUACUUAUAUGAUAAUUCUUUUUAUAAGUACUACUUAUUUAAUUAUAACUGUUAUGUUACUUUUUUGAAGUAAAAGAGCCAUGAAACUGAAGGAAGCUUUCAAAAGCAAAGUUGCUGUAAUUUAGAAAGAAAUCUGGUAACUUUAGUACCUUUGAGCAGUACUAAUGGGCUAUACCAGUUGCUCUAUUUUUUUCAUUUUUUUUGGGGGAAGUAUUAUGUAAAGAGUGAAUAAUCGAUGUGGAGAUCCCCUAUUAACUUUGAAUGAUAAUUUUGUUUAUGAGAUGAGUAUUAUAAUUUUAUCCGUUGUGAAUCGUAGUUGUAUAACUCAUAAAAUGAUAUUGCUCCAGCUACUUUAUAAUUGUUAAGAAAAAGCUUGUGAUUUUCACUUUAAUGGUACAUAUAUUAUAACGAUGUUCUCUUUAAUUUCUAUUCAAUAUGAGUUUGAUAUUUAUGACAAGUCAACUUUUUUAUGUUAUCACAACUUAACUAUCAGUUUAUAUCAAUUGACUAUAUUCCAUUCUCAUAAAUAUUGUGCAAAUGCGAAUAAUUAAUGGGCUGAGAUUUUUAAAGCUGAUGCUCUUGAUUUAUGAUGAUUUACUUAUAUGUUUUUCAUCAUUGCAUUCGCCAUUGAAGUCUCUUUGUCAACAUGUUGUUUGAUAUUGCAUUUUUUUUUAAAAGAUAGUUCCAGAUGUUGGAAAUGUGCUAAUACAUAUGGAGGAUGCUUACAAAAGGGGAUGAGAGUUGUGUCAAGUUUGACAUGUAUAAAGUGAUAGAAUAUCUAAAUAUUAAUUAGAAGAUUUUGUAGUCUACUAUUUUAGGUUAGCAUAUUUUGUAUAAUGUAUAAUCUCCUAUUUUAGGUUAGAAUAUUAUUCUGUUAUUUUGUAUAUAAACCAAUUCAAGUAAUGAAAGGAUUCAAGGAAAAUAUUUCUUAAAUGGUAUCAGAAUAGGGUUUUUUUCUUCUUGCUCCUUCCGCUACGCCCUAAAUCCUUAUUUUUUGUUUUCCUUCCUAAGCCGUCGCCCCCUUCCUUUUCUUUUCCCAUGGCCGACGCACCAACCACCCCGGCUAAGCCCACGUUCCACCCGGCCCUCACGGUCUCCAAUAUCAAGAAUCACAUCUCUGUUACUCUUGAGAUGGAAAACUCACAAUAUGGUACAUGGGCCGAGCUUUUCAAAAUUCAUGCUUGUUCUCACAAGGUCCUUCAUCACAUCAUUCCUCCACCUAAGGGUACGGAGAAGCCGGCUCCCAAAACUGAUGAGGAAAUUGAAUUAUGGACCACCAUUGACGCCACCGUGCUUCAAUGGAUUUAUUCGACGAUUUCGAAUGAUCUGUUAAACACUAUCAUCGAACCGGAUGCUACUACCAUGGAGGCUUGGGACCGCUUACGUGAUAUCUUCCAAGAUCAUCAAACUUCUCGUGCGGUGACUUUUGAACAAGAAUUCACGACGACUCGUAUGGAGGAUUUUUCCAAUGCCUCCGCCUAUUGUCAACGUCUCAAGAGCCUUGCCGAUCAACUGAAAAACGUUGGGGCUCCCGUGACGAAUAGCCGCCUUGUCCUUCAACUGGUCUCGGGUCUCACUGACGCAUACAAAGGGGUUGGGACACAAAUUCGCCAUGCCAAGCAACUCCCACCAUUUACUGAGGCUCGGUCUUCUCUUGUUUUGGAGGAACGUGAACUUACGGCUAUGGUGUCUCACGGGUCUGGUUCGGCUAUGGUGGCCUCAGUCGAUGACGCGCCACUCCCCUCGGAUAACUCAAGCUCACGCCGAGGAAAAUCAAAAAAUUCCCACGGCUGUAAGGGGGGCUCGGGCCGCGGCUCAGGCAGCGGCAAAAUCACCGGUGGCCGCGGUAAUUCUGCCCGAAGCAGCGGCGGUUAGCAGCAAUGGAUUACCGGCAGUGGCGGUCAGCAGCAGUUCGGCCACUGGCAAUGGGUCCCCCAGCCCCGCUGGGCAGCCCCUUCUCCCUGCCCGUACCCGACAGUCUCUUGGGCUCG